GCUCCUGAUGUGGACAGUCUUAAAGAAGAGCUGUGAACCUCUCCCAUGCAUUAUAUAAAUUCUUAUAUGGCUUCUGUUUAAAGCACACAAUCUCAUUGCGCAGUCU
rfam:Capsicum annuum cultivar Zunla-1 chromosome 10, whole genome shotgun sequence